rnacentral:tRNA from 2 species
GGGUGUAGCUCAGUUGGUUAGAGUGCCGGCCUGUCACGCCGGAGGUCGCGGGUUCGAGCCCCGUCACUCGCGCCA